GCUGGGUGUGGUGGCGCAUGCCUGUAAUCCUAGCUACUCAGGAGGCUGAGGCAAGAGAAUUGCUUGAGCCCAGGAGGCAGAGGUUGCAGUGAGGCAAGAUUGCACCACUGCACUCCAGCCUGGGCAACAGAGUGAGACUCCGUCUCAA
rnacentral:SRP_RNA from 1 species